rnacentral:rRNA from 1 species
ACGGCCCAUACUCCUACGGGAGGCAGCAGUAGGGAAUCUUCCACAAUGGGCGAAAGCCUGAUGGAGCAACGCCGCGUGUGUGAUGAAGGGUUUCGGCUCGUAAAACACUGUUGUAAGAGAAGAAUGACAUUGAGAGUAACUGUUCAAUGUGUGACGGUAUCUUACCAGAAAGGAACGGCUAAAUACGUGCCAGCAGCCGCGGUAAUACGUAUGUUCCAAGCGUUAUCCGGAUUUAUUGGGCGUAAAGCGAGCGCAGACGGUUAUUUAAGUCUGAAGUGAAAGCCCUCAGCUCAACUGAGGAAUUGCUUUGGAAACUGGAUGACUUGAGUGCAGUAGAGGAAAGUGGAACUCCAUGUGUAG